AACAGGAUUAGAUACCCUGGUAGUCCACGCCGUAAACGAUGUCGACUUGGAGGUUGUUCCCUUGAGGAGUGGCUUCCGGAGCUAACGCGUUAAGUCGACCGCCUGGGGAGUACGGCCGCAAGGUUAAAACUCAAAUGAAUUGACGGGGGCCCGCACAAGCGGUGGAGCAUGUGGUUUAAUUCGAUGCAACGCGAAGAACCUUACCUACUCUUGACAUCCACGGAAUUCGGCAGAGAUGCCUUAGUGCCUUCGGGAACCGUGAGACAGGUGCUGCAUGGCUGUCGUCAGCUCGUGUUGUGAAAUGUUGGGUUAAGUCCCGCAACGAGCGCAACCCUUAUCCUUUGUUGCCAGCGAUUCGGUCGGGAACUCAAAGGAGACUGCCGGUGAUAAACCGGAGGAAGGUGGGGAUGACGUCAAGUCAUCAUGGCCCUUACGAGUAGGGCUACACACGUGCUACAAUGGCGUAUACAAAGAGAAGCGACCUCGCGAGAGCAAGCGGACCUCAUAAAGUGCGUCGUAGUCCGGAUCGGAGUCUGCAACUCGACUCCGUGAAGUCGGAAUCGCUAGUAAUCGUGGAUCAGAAUGCCACGGUGAAUACGUUCCCGGGCCUUGUACACACCGCCCGUCACACCAUGGGAGUGGGUUGCAAAAGAAGUAGGUAGCUUAACCUUCGGGAGGGCGCUUACCACUUUGUGAUUCAUGACUGGGGUGAAGUCGUAACAAGGUAACC
rnacentral:rRNA from 1 species